rnacentral:rRNA from 1 species
AGGACGAACGCUGGCGGCGUGCUUAACACAUGCAAGUCGAGCGGAGCGUCUACGUUCGGGAGAUGUCCUAGCGGCGAACGGGUGAGUAACACGUGGGCAACCUGCCUCUAGCUCUGGGAUAACUCCGGGAAACCGGGGCUAAUACCGGAUACGACCUCGAGCGGCAUCUAUCGAGGUGGAAAGUUUUUCGGCUAGAGAUGGGCCCGCGGCCUAUCAGCUUGUUGGUGAGGUAACGGCCCACCAAGGCGACGACGGGUA